rnacentral:lncRNA from 10 species
AGUCUUUAUUCCAACGCUGUUGCUGUAGGAGAUGCAUUUGAAGCUCUGCGGCACAUCCUCUUGGCCUGUCUCUGGUUUUUAGCUGCAUCUGAGGUGGGUGGAUGGUUCCUUAUGAGUUCAGACGUCUGCUCACAGCCUCCCACCUAAGGUGCUGGAGAUGCGUGACUCUCUGAUUUUCUGCCUCAGGCUGGGCUUCGGGAGCUCACUCAGCCUAGUGCAAGCACAGCUGGGAACUCAGAGGUUCCCAGAGAAUCUAGCUCCGUGCCUAAAAGGGUGACUUCAAAAGUGCACACUUAGGACCAGGUGCGGUGGCUCACACCUGUAAUCCCAGCACUUUAGGAGGCCGAGGCAGGAGGAUCACUUGAGGUCAGGAGUUUGAGAUCAGCCUGGCCAACAUGAUGAAACCCUGUCUUUACUAAAAAUACAAAAACUAGCUGGGUGUGGUGGUGUGUGCCUGUAAUCCCAGCUACUCGGGAGGCUGAAGCAGGAGAAUCGCUUGAACUUGGGAGACAGAGGCUGCAGUGAGCCGAGAUUGCAGCACUGCACUCCAGCCUCGGCAACAGAGCAAGACUCUGUCUCAAAAAAAAAAAAAAAAAAAAGGUGCACAGUUGCAUUGACUUUCCUCUUCCCCAACUCACCACCCCCAACUCUCACUCCUGCUUCUUUGGGUCAUCUCCUAAAUAAAUGGCUUGAACCCUAGUCCUUGUCUCAGGCUCUGCUUUUGGGGAACAAAAGCUGAAAUAGGUGGGAUUGCUUGGAGCAUCAGCAGUUCCUCUUCUGGACUGUCUUUCAGAAGCUGAGGCCUGAUCUUUUGUAGCUCUUCAAACACAGCAAACCUUCCAUCUUCCUGGAGGAGGAGAUUGAUUCCUGCCAAUAGCCAG